UACGUAGGUGGCAAGCGUUGUCCGGAAUUAUUGGGCGUAAAGCGCGCGCAGGCGGUCUUUUAAGUCUGAUGUGAAAGCCCACGGCUCAACCGUGGAGGGUCAUUGGAAACUGGGAGACUUGAGUGCAGGAGAGAAGAGUGGAAUUCCACGUGUAGCGGUGAAAUGCGUAGAGAUGUGGAGGAACACCAGUGGCGAAGGCGACUCUUUGGCCUGUAACUGACGCUGGGGCGCGAAAGCGUGGGGAGCAAACAGG
rnacentral:rRNA from 1 species